CAGUAGCCGCGGUAAUACAGAGGGUGCGAGCGUUAAUCGGAUUUACUGGGCGUAAAGCGUGCGUAGGCGGCUUCUUAAGUCGGAUGUGAAAUCCCUGAGCUUAACUUAGGAAUUGCAUUCGAUACUGGGAAGCUAAAGUAUGGGAGAGGAUGGUAGAAUUCCAGGUGUAGCGGUGAAAUGCGUAGAGAUCUGGAGGAAUACCGAUGGCGAAGGCAGCCAUCUGGCCUAAUACUGACGCUGAGGUACGAAAGCAUGGGGAGCAAACAGGAUUAGAUACCCCAGUAGUCCCUGUCUCUUAUAC
rnacentral:rRNA from 1 species